rnacentral:rRNA from 1 species
AGAGUUUGAUCAUGGCUCAGAUUGAACGCUGGCGGCAGGCCUAACACAUGCAAGUCGAACGGUAACAGGAAGCAGCUUGCUGCUUUGCUGACGAGUGGCGGACGGGUGAGUAAUGUCUGGGAAACUGCCUGAUGGAGGGGGAUAACUACUGGAAACGGUGGCUAAUACCGCAUAACGUCGCAAGACCAAAGAGGGGGACCUUCGGGCCUCUUGCCAUCAGAUGUGCCCAGAUGGGAUUAGCUUGUUGGUGAGGUAACGGCUCACCAAGGCGACGAUCCCUAGCUGGUCUGAGAGGAUGACCAGCCACACUGGAACUGAGACACGGUCCAGACUCCUACGGGAGGCAGCAGUGGGGAAUAUUGCACAAUGGGCGCAAGCCUGAUGCAGCCAUGCCGCGUGUAUGAAGAAGGCCUUCGGGUUGUAAAGUACUUUCAGCGGGGAGGAAGGUGUUGUGGUUAAUAACCACAGCAAUUGACGUUACCCGCAGAAGAAGCACCGGCUAACUCCGUGCCAGCAGCCGCGGUAAUACGGAGGGUGCAAGCGUUAAUCGGAAUUACUGGGCGUAAAGCGCACGCAGGCGGUCUGUCAAGUCGGAUGUGAAAUCCCCGGGCUCAACCUGGGAACUGCAUUCGAAACUGGCAGGCUUGAGUCUUGUAGAGGGGGGUAGAAUUCCAGGUGUAGCGGUGAAAUGCGUAGAGAUCUGGAGGAAUACCGGUGGCGAAGGCGGCCCCCUGGACAAAGACUGACGCUCAGGUGCGAAAGCGUGGGGAGCAAACAGGAUUAGAUACCCUGGUAGUCCACGCCGUAAACGAUGUCUACUUGGAGGUUGUGCCCUUGAGGCGUGGCUUCCGGAGCUAACGCGUUAAGUAGACCGCCUGGGGAGUACGGCCGCAAGGUUAAAACUCAAAUGAAUUGACGGGGGCCCGCACAAGCGGUGGAGCAUGUGGUUUAAUUCGAUGCAACGCGAAGAACCUUACCUGGUCUUGACAUCCACNGGGGGCCCGCACAAGCGGUGGAGCAUGUGGUUUAAUUCGAUGCAACGCGAAGAACCUUACCUGGUCUUGACAUCCACAGAACUUUCCAGAGAUGGACUGGUGCCUUCGGGAACUGUGAGACAGGUGCUGCAUGGCUGUCGUCAGCUCGUGUUGUGAAAUGUUGGGUUAAGUCCCGCAACGAGCGCGUGAGACAGGUGCUGCAUGGCUGUCGUCAGCUCGUGUUGUGAAAUGUUGGGUUAAGUCCCGCAACGAGCGCAACCCUUAUCCUUUGUUGCCAGCGAUUAGGUCGGGAACUCAAAGGAGACUGCCAGUGAUAAACUGGAGGAAGGUGGGGAUGACGUCAAGUCAUCAUGGCCCUUACGACCAGGGCUACACACGUGCUACAAUGGCGCAUACAAAGAGAAGCGACCUCGCGAGAGCAAGCGGACCUCAUAAAGUGCGUCGUAGUCCGGAUUGGAGUCUGCAACUCGACUCCAUGAAGUCGGAAUCGCUAGUAAUCGUGGAUCAGAAUGCCACGGUGAAUACGUUCCCGGGCCUUGUACACACCGCCCGUCACACCAUGGGAGUGGGUUGCAAAAGAAGUAGGUAGCUUAACCUUCGGGAGGGCGCUUACCACUUUGUGAUUCAUGACUGGGGUGAAGUCGUAACAAGGUAACCGUAGGGGAACCUGCGGUUG